rnacentral:sRNA from 1 species
AAAAACGUGGAGCUGCACUAGCUAGUUCAAUCGUGAAAACUAUAUGCUAGUUCUGAUACAGACAUAACUAUUUUUUUUCGGAAAACAGGAAUAUUAUUUCUAGAUCUAUAGAGUACAUGUACAAAGAGACAAUUAUAAAAGUUGUUUGCAAGCAUCAUCAAUGACAACAACAAGUGUGAGAAACAUCCACAAAACCAGGCUGUAAUCGAUGCUUCUUUGCCAGCAAAUAUGGCGUAGCUCUCUCCUUCUGUGUGGCAAGGACUUCCGGUAGAAACGAAAAAACUGCCCAGAUGCAAACAGUAAUCAAUUGACCAUGGCGAAUCAGCUGACUUUUAAAGUUAAAGAAUUGCAGUGAUCACUCCUCCAUGGCACCUGAUCCUACCUCUAAUUUUAGUAGCGUCCAUGUUUGCUCCACUCUUCUUUUGUAUUUUUCCUUGAGAAUUUUGAUUCUGAACGGCUGAAAACUGUUCGUUAUCACCACAUUUCAUUUUAUGUUUGGUGGACUGGAAGAUAUAUCUAAAAUGAUAAUAGCUAGAGUUGUUGUAUAUUGUUAUCGGGGUUUGAUUUUGCAAUCCUGUUUAAACGGUUGGUUUUUUUUUAAAUAUGUGAACGUUUUACCCCAAAAUCCUAGAAUUAAUUGCUUAAAAAACAACAAAGUUUGCUUAGUUUAAAGAAACAUAAAUGUAAUUGUGUGUGAGGAUUGAGAGAAUUUGAAAUAUGGUUGAACUUGUCCAUGCAAAUUGAAAGUACAAUUAAGUGACUAUGAAAUAAUUGUUAGGGUAUCUUUAUUAAAAAGGAAUAUUUAUUUCUAGUUAACCCAAACAACCGAUCAUGCCAUUGAUAUGUCACUGAAAAACAAUUUCAGUGCACACUAGGCAUUGAACUGUUUUAAACUUAUCUUUUUUUUUUCAAAGGUUAUUUUUUUUUCAGCCAAUCAUAAACGUUAUUUUUAUGCACCGUUAUUGUAUCAUCAAUAAUACAUAUCAACAGCAAAAUAAACUAUAAUUGCUUACCAUCUUUUUUAUCAGAAAAAACCCAAAAUGAAUGUAGAAAAAGAGUUUUUUUUAACAAUAAUGACAUUGCAUCACGAUGUCGACAAUCACUAUGAGCACAAAGGGGGUACAGCACAUUGCUUAUCCCUUAAAGAGGUUUCCUCCUCAGGUUUUAGGUAGCCACUUUGGGUCACCUCUAGUCUGAAAAUUUUGCACCACCUAUCAAUUCUAGUAGUAUAUUUAUAUUUUACAAUGCCAAAUAAACUUUAUUGAAUAAAAUUGUUU